rnacentral:rRNA from 1 species
AUACGGAGGAUGCAAGCGUUAUCCGGAUUUAUUGGGUUUAAAGGGUGCGUAGGCGGAUGAUUAAGCGUGAGGUGAAAUGCCACUGCUCAACAGUGGAACUGCCUCGCGAACUGGUUGUCUUGAAUGCUCCUGCCGUGGGAGGAAUGUGUGGUGUAGCGGUGAAAUGCAUAGAGAUCACACAGAACACCGAUUGCGAAGGCAUCUCACGAAGGGGUGAUUGACGCUGAGGCACGAAAGCGUGGGGAUCAAACAGGAUUAGAUACCCUGGUAGUCCACGCAGUAAACGAUGAUAACUAACCGCUGGGUCGUAGUGAUUCAGUGGCCAAGCGAAAGCGAUAAGUUAUCCACCUGGGGAGUACGACCGCAAGGUUGAAACUCAAAGGAAUUGACGG